GACGAACGCUGGCGGCGUGCUUAACACAUGCAAGUCGAGCGGUAAGGCCCUUUCGGGGGCACACGAGCGGCGAACGGGUGAGUAACACGUGGGUGACCUGCCCUUAGCUCUGGGAUAAGCCUGGGAAACUGGGUCUAAUACCGGAUAUGACUCCAUGACGCAUGUUGUGGGGUGGAAAGCCUUGUGCGGCUAGGGAUGGGCCCGCGGCCUAUCAGCUUGUUGGUGGGGUGAUGGCCACCAAGGCGACGACGGGUAGCCGGCCUGAGAGGGC
rnacentral:rRNA from 1 species